rnacentral:rRNA from 1 species
UACGUAGGGGGCAAGCGUUGUCCGGAAUCAUUGGGCGUAAAGCGCGUGUAGGCGGUUCAGUAAGUCUGCUGUGAAAGUCCAGGGCUCAACCCUGGGAUGCCGGUGGAUACUGCUGGGCUAGAGUACGGAAGAGGCGAGUGGAAUUCCCGGUGUAGCGGUGAAAUGCGCAGAUAUCAGGAGGAACACCGGUGGCGAAGGCGCCACUCUGGGCCGAAACUGACGCUGAGGAGCGAAAGCGUGGGUAGCAAACAGG